AGUGAACGCUGGCGGCAGGCCUAACACAUGCAAGUCGAACGGCAGCACAGUAAGAGCUUGCUCUUACGGGUGGCGAGUGGCGGACGGGUGAGGAAUACACCGGAAUCCACUUUUUCGUGGGGGCUAACGUAGGGAAACUUACGCUAAUACCGCAUACGACCUCCGGGUGAAAGCAGGGGAUCUUCGGCCCUUGUGCGAUUGAAUGAGCCGAUGUCGGAUUAGCUAGUUGGCGGGGUAAAGGCCCACCACGGCGACGAUCCGUAGCUGGUCUGAGAGGAUGGUCCGCCACACUGGAACUGAGACACGGUCCAGACUCCUACGGGAGGCAGCAGUGGGGAAUAUUGGACAAUGGGCGAAAGCCUGAUCCAGCCAUACCGCGGGGGUGAAGAAGGCCUUCGGGUUGUAAAGCCCUUUUGUUGGGAAAGAAAAGCAGCAGGUUAAUACCCCGCUGUUCUGACGGUACCCAAAGAAUAAGCACCGGCUAACUUCGUG
rnacentral:rRNA from 1 species